CCUACGGGAGGCAGCAGUGGGGGAUAUUGCACAAUGGGGGGAACCCUGAUGCAGCGACGCCGCGUGGGUGAAGAAGGGCCUCGGGGCGGAAAGCCCUGUCAGCAGGGAAGAAAAUGACGGUACCUGAAGAAGAAGCCCCGGCGAACUACGUGCAAGCAGCCGCGGUACGACGGCGGGGGCAAGCGUGAUCCGGAGUUACUGGGUGUAAAGGGGGCGUAGACGGGGAUGCAAGCCAGGAGUGAAAGCCCGGGGCCCCACCCCGGGACGGCUCUUGGAACUGCGUGGCUGGAGUGCAGGAGGGGCAGGCGGAAUUCCUGGUGUAGCGGUGAAAUGCGUAGAUAUCAGGAGGAACACCGGUGGCGAAGGCGGCCUGCUGGACUGCAACUGACGUUGAGGCCCGAAAGCGUGGGGAGCAAACAGGAUUAGAUACCCGGGUAGUC
rnacentral:rRNA from 1 species